CAGAUUAAAGCUUUAUUUAAGCAUUUUAUUUACAUUAAAAAGAUUAUUUAGGAUAAAUAUAGUUUGA
rnacentral:tRNA from 1 species